GUACAAAAAUAAUAGGGGCUGAAUUAUUUUUUUGAAAAAAUUUAAGGGAUUCUCACCCUUUUUAUGUCCAAAAUCCUCAAUUGCCAAAGUCUCAAAUAACUAUUGCGGUACUACCUAAUAUGAAAACUUUAACAUAAAAUUUUCAAUAAUUGUCCCAUCCCAUGGCCUGCGGUGGAGAUUGGGGAAAGGCGAUGACUUUGGGUUCUAUUUUAUGGAAAUUAGGUUUAUUAUAGAAUAAUCAAACCCGGUAGUUUGAAAGAGGAUGAAGAGAGAAACAUUUUGACAGUGAGAUUGAUUUGAGAUAAUGUCAGACAGCGGCAAUAAAGGAGUAUGACAAUGUUUGGUAUUUUUUUAAAGAGAAAAAAAUUAAGUUUUAUGUUUAAGAAUAAAUCCCUAAAGAAAAAAAGGAAAGAGAGGAAAAAAAAGUAAAAAAUAAUUUUAAAUUUUAAUGAUAUUAUUAUAUUUGUUAUAUAAUUAUAAUUAAAAUGAUUCGACUCGAAUCUGACCCGGGUGUGAUCCUAUAUAAUAAAAUUUUACAGUCAUCUUAAGGGGAUGGAUCUUCUUCUUCUUAACUGUUAGACUCAAGUUCUCUCUCCUGACACAUCCGUUGAUCUAAAGUAUCGACAAUGAUUUGGUGAGCGUGGAUGGAACUCGCCAAAGAUUUUGCCAUUCUCUAUGAUGCUGAGGUUCAUGUCAUCAUUUUCUUCAAUACUGGCAAACUCUUUGGCUUCUCCAAUUUUGGUCCAAAAGGAGCAGUACUCAAUAGUGAUGGGGGAUGUUGAGAGGAAGUGAGCGGCACCAACAGAAGACACAUGCACCAAUUUCAGUUUCACGGUUUUAUGAUUUUAUAUUUCUAAUCCCUUUGAAGCUCUCACAUCCCUAAUAUAUUUAUUUCCUUUUUGGUCACUCUAUCGGUGGAGCUGUGGUUUUGAAGGCAACUUCACAUCCUUGUAUUGAAGGAAUGCUGGAGGGAGUUGGGCUGACCUCUCCAGCUUUGCGUGUUAAACCAACCCAAACAAUUGUUGGGUGAUGAAUUGCUACUAUUUCUACUGUGCUCAUGAAUUGUUCGAUGAUAUGCCAAGGAAGGAUGCUUAAGGGCGAGCCUCUAGUAUUUUCCUUGAAAAUAUUGAGAAGCUAUAAAAAAAUACAUCUAGAAUCAAGCCUGGUCUUACCCGGUUGCGUAGAAGUGCCCCCAAACCUUUUUCCUGCCAUUAAACUGAGCUUUAUGAUUCGAAAGUAGGGAGUGAUAUUUUGGAUAUGAUUCUUACAAAGGUAUGCCAAUGCUUCAUUCUCAUUUAUUUUUAAAAAUAAUCUAGACGUAUUUAGGUGUUUAUUUCUAGUUGUCUUAACAUAGCAUAGCAUCUCCAUUUGGUUUCCUUCCAAGGUGUCAGUAUUUAUUGUGCAGAAUAUAACUAGCAUUGCUGAUAAAAAAUAAUUACAUGUGCUAUCAUUAAAUGGUUUCCUUAGUUUAUGUAUUUAAUAGGGCAUAUUUUAAUGUAUGACGUGCAUAUCAUUUGCCUAUUUUUGUUAUGUAGUUGAACCAUCAAUCAUUUCAAUCAUGUCAUCUUUGUUAUGCCCACAUUAAGCAAGAUGACACAUUUAUACAGUGCUUGAAAUAAUUGGGAGGCAGAUUUGUUAUGCCCACCUAUUCUAUGUUUACAGCUCAUAAGCUCAACUCUUACUGUAAUCUAAAUCUCAUUUAUGGAGAUUGUAUGAGACUUGAGGAAUCAAUGUAGUAACGAAUGAAGGUCUCUGGUUGCAUUAAGAAAUUGAAAGAAAAAAGGCGCUACCUUAGAGGCUCAACCUCACUGAGCUCUAUCAACAAGCCAGUCUUUGUAAAGAAAUAAACUCUUAGUCCAUUAUAUUAAACAGUGUAGGACUUUAUCUGAAUCACUGAAUUUUUCUUCUUCUUUAUUUGUAUUUUGAUUGAAUGCAGGUAUUAACUCCACCCAAGCAUUGAGUUGCUGAUAGUACUAGAAAGAACAUAUGUUUUCUUCCUACUUAUUGGUUAAUUUGUUCCCUUUUAAUUAUCUUUAGCACAUAUUUUAGUAUUUUUAGUUCAGUAAUUUACAUUUUAUGACUUAGUGGAUCUUGGCUUAUUUACCUUUAAUUUUAUCAUAUUUUGGUACUAAUGUCGCUGCAUGAGCAAAUUUAGAUUGCGCCCAGAACUAUCGCCGCACUUGAUAGCUGUCCGGAUAGGAAUGAAAAUACAUGAGCUGUCUAGUUUGGUACAACUAACUUGUACGUGCAAAGGUAGCAUGGUUUUGAUGAAAAGGACACCUGGGCUAUUUGGGAAAAAUAUAUAAAUAUUCACAUGAAAAGAAAAAAAGAGAGUUUUUUUUGGAUCAUCUUUUUCAACUUAUCCCUUGAAGCUUUCGGCUAUGGCGGAUUAAGCUUCGACGGGUGAACCAACGUGAAAACGAUAUAGACCAGCUCUUGACGAGAAGCCCUGAGUGCGACACAAGGAGGAAUAGACAGAUUCAAGUCGAGUUGUCUAGGAAUAGUAAUCUCCACUUAUUUCUUUUAUUUUUCUUUUCUAAACGCUGGUGAUUACUUCCUAUUUCAUGUUAGUACAGAAAUACACACGAUUUAUGAGUUAAAUGUUAUUUUAUUCAAUCUUACUUCUACUGUUUAAUAUUUGGGUUUGAAUGUUUUUAGAAUGGAAAUUUUUUCGCGGUCACUGACAUUGGAAGGUGCAGUGACAGUUCAAGCUAACAA